ensembl:lncRNA
CAGAGAUGUGGAGGGACGUAAUUGAGGGAGACGUGGGGAUCCUCCGGGGCUGUGCUGGGAAGGAGGGGGUGUGGAAGCAAAGGGUGGAAGGAGGCGGCUCCAGUCCGGUGGGUUGGGAUGGGGUUGGGGUUGGAAUGGGGUCGGAUGGGAUUUGAGUUGGGAUUGGGAUGGGGUCGGAUGGGAUUUGAGGUAGGAUUGGGAUGGGAUUGGAUGGGAUUUGAGUUGGAGAUUGGGAUGGGGUUGGGGUAGGAUUGGGUUUGGAUGGGAUUUAGGUUGGGGAUGAGUUAAGGGUGAGAUUGGGAUGGGAUUGAAUGGGAUUUGGGUUCGAUGGGAUGAGGUUGGGGUUGGGAUGGGGUUGGAUGGGAUUUAGGGUGGGGAUGGGGUGGAGUCUGGAUGGAUUGGGGUUGAAAUUUGGAUGGGAUCAGAUGGGAUUGGAUGGGAUUUGAGUUAGGAUUGGGAUGGGAUGGAUUGGAUGAGAUUUAGGUUGGAGAUUGUGAUGGGGGUUGGGAUUGGGAUGAGGUUGAAUGGGAUUUGGGUUCGAUGGGAUGAGGUUGGGGUUGAGAUUGGGUCUGAAUGGGAUGUAGGUUGGGGAUGGGUUAGGGGUGAAAUUAGGAUGGGGUUGCAUGGGAUUUAGGGUGGGGAUGGGAUGGAGUCUGGAUUGGUUGGGGUUGGAAUUGAGAUGGGAUCAGAUGGGAUUUGGGUUGAGGGUAGGAUUGGGAUGGGGUUGAACGGAAUUUUGUUGGUAUGGGAGGAGGUUGGGGUUGAGAUUGGGAUUGGAAUGGGGUCAGAUGGGGUUUGGGAUUGGGAUGGUGUUGUGUUGGAUUGGGUUAAGUCACCAAUUAAGUCCACCAAUUUGGAUUCCUGAUGCAUUCCUUGGUGGCGUGAACGUCUCCCAAAGAGGAUAAUGCCUCUGUAACGCUGCUGUCCUUAUCAAGCUGGAAAAUGUUCUUAGGAAGGAUGGAAGGUGAGGGCUUGAGCUCGGCACCUUGGGCACCCCAAGCCCCUCUUUGGGGCCAAAUUGCAGCAUGUGCAGCGCUGGGCUGGUGGCACUGCCCUGCGUGGUCCCCCAGCCCAGAGCUGCUGCGGUCAUUUG